GCCGAUAUAGCUCAAUUGGCAGAGCAGUUGAAUCGUAAUCAUCAGGUUGGGGGUUCGAGUCCCCCUAUCGGCUCCA
rnacentral:tRNA from 1 species